rnacentral:rRNA from 1 species
UACGAAGGGGGCUAGCGUUGCUCGGAAUCACUGGGCGUAAAGCGCACGUAGGCGGCUUUUUUAAGUCAGGGGUGAAAUCCUGGAGCUCAACUCCAGAACUGCCUUUGAUACUGAGAAGCUUGAGUCCGGGAGAGGUGAGUGGAACUGCGAGUGUAGAGGUGAAAUUCGUAGAUAUUCGCAAGAACACCAGUGGCGAAGGCGGCUCACUGGCCCGGUACUGACGCUGAGGUGCGAAAGCGUGGGGAGCAAACAGG